rnacentral:rRNA from 1 species
AACGAACGCUGGCGGCAUGCCUAACACAUGCAAGCCGAACGAACCCUUCGGGGUGAGUGGCGCACGGGUGCGUAACACGUGGGAACCUGCCCUUAGGUUCGGAAUAACACAGAGAAAUUAGUGCUAAUACCGGAUAAUGUCUUCGGACCAAAGAUUUAUCGACUUUGGUUGGGCCGCCGUAGGAUUAGCUAGUUGGUGAGGUAAAGGCUCACGAAGGCGAGGAACCUUAGCUGGUCUUAGAGGAUGAUCAGCCACACUGUGACUGAGACAGGGCGCGGGAUCCUACGGGAGGCAGCAGUGGGGAAUAUUGGGCAAGGGGCGAAGGCCUGAUCAAGCACUGCCGCGUGAGUGAUGAAGGCCUUAGGGUUGUAAAGCUCUUUUAGCAGGGAUGAUAAUGACAGUACCUGGAGAAUAAGCUCCGGCUAACUCCGUGCCAGCCGCCGCCGUAAAAC